rnacentral:rRNA from 1 species
UACGGAGGGGGCGAGCGUUAUUCGGAAUUAUUGGGCGUAAAGGGCUCGUAGGCGGUUUGUCGCGUCGGGAGUGAAAACACCGGGCUUAACUCGGUGCUGGCUUUCGAUACGGGCAGACUAGAGGUAUGCAGGGGAGAACGGAAUUCCUGGUGUAGCGGUGAAAUGCGCAGAUAUCAGGAAGAACACCAAUGGCGAAGGCAGCUCUCUGGGACGGUACUGACGCUGAGACGCGAAAGCGUGGGGAGCGAACAGG